rnacentral:piRNA from 1 species
CAGGAAAAGUUGCUUGAUGGGACUGUAAA